rnacentral:rRNA from 1 species
CGGCGGACGGGUGAGUAACGCGUGGGAACGUGCCCUCUGGUUCGGAAUAACUCUCGGAAACUUGAGCUAAUACCGGAUACGCCCUUUUGUGGAAAGGCUUGCUGCCGCAGGAUCGGCCCGCGUCUGAUUAUCUAUUUGGUGAGGUAACGGCUCACCAAGGCGACAAUAAGUAGCUGGGCUGAGAGGAUGAUCACCCACACUGGGACUGAGACACGGCCCAGACUCCUACGGGAGGCGGCAGUGGGGAAUAUUGGACAAUGGGCGCAAGCCUGAUCCACCCAUGCCGCGUGAGUGAUGAAAGCCUUAUGGUUGUAAAGCUCUUUUAUCCGGGACAAUAAUGACGGUACCGGAGGAAUAAGCCCCGGCUAACUUCUUGCCAUCACCCGCGGUAAUACAAAAGGGGCUAGCGUUGCUCGCAAUCUCUGGGCGUAAAGGGGGCGUAUGCGGCGUUUUAAGUCGGGGGUGAAAGCCUGUGGGUCAACCACACAAUGGGCUUCUAUACUGGGACACUUGAGUAUGGUAGAGGUUGGUGGAACUGCGAGUGUAUAGGUGAAAUUCUUACAUAUUCUCAAGAACACUGGUGGCGAAAGCGGCCAACUGUACCAUUACUGACACUGAGA